GGGCCGGUGGCGGAAUGGCAGACGCAGGGGACUUAAAAUCCCCUUCCCCUCGGGGAGUGUGGGUUCGACCCCCACCCGGCCUA
rnacentral:tRNA from 1 species